GCUCCGAUGGUCUAGUGGUUAGAGCGUCCGCCUUAGAUGUGGGUGGUCGUGGGAUCUAUCCCCCGGUCGAAUCA